GAUGAAGAACGUAGCGAAAUGCGAUAAGUAGUGUGAAUUGCAGAAUUCAGUGAAUCAUCGAAUCUUUGAACGCACAUUGCGGCCAUAGGUAUUCCUUUGGCCAUGCCUGUUCGAGCGUCAUUUACACCCUCAAGCCUAGCUUGGUGUUGGGCGCCUGUCCCGCUGUUUUCGCGCGCGGACUCGCCUCAAAGUCAUUGGCGGCGGUCGUGCCGGCCCCCUCGCGCAGCACAUUUGCGCUUCUCGGAGGCCCGGCGGAUCCGCGCUCCAGCAAGACCUUUCACGACUUGACCUCGGAUUAGGUAGGGAUACCCGCUGAACUUAAGCAUAUCAAUAAGCGGAGGA
rnacentral:misc_RNA from 1 species